UAAUACGGAGGGUGCAAGCGUUAAUCGGAAUUACUGGGCGUAAAGCGCACGCAGGCGGUUUGUUAAGUCAGAUGUGAAAUCCCCGGGCUCAACCUGGGAACUGCAUUUGAAACUGGCAAGCUAGAGUCUCGUAGAGGGGGGUAGGAAUUCCAGGUGUAGCGGUGAAAUGCGUAGAGAUCUGGAGGAAUACCGGUGGCGAAGGCGGCCCCCUGGACGAAGACUGACGCUCAGGUGCGAAAGCGUGGGGAGCAAACAGGAUUAGAUACCCUGGUAGUCCACGCUGUAAACGAUGUCGAUUUGGAGGUUGUGCCCUUGAGGCGUGGCUUCCGGAGCUAACGCGUUAAAUCGACCGCCUGGGGAGUACGGCCGCAAGGUUA
rnacentral:rRNA from 1 species